rnacentral:lncRNA from 1 species
GUGGGGUGGGGCCGGAGGAGGGGCGAAGGCGGGCAAGUGGGUUUAACCCUUUGUUUACUUCUUGAGAUGGGGCACCUAGGAAGGAUAACGAGUUGCUGUAUUCCGUAUUCCAUGGAUAGGGGCAUGCACCAGCGCACCGUUCAGGCCUAAAUAGGGUCUUGAAACCCAUAGCGAAGAUGUGUCCUCUUUUUUGCAAAUUCUUUUCCUAGAGAGUCUGGGAUCCGGAUAGACGCCCCUUCAUAAAAGCUGUCCCUGAACCUUUUGCUCCUUCGGGGUCUUCCCGUUCCUUUUCCCUUUUGGUAAGUAGGAUAACGAGGAAACUGAGGCACACCAGGGGACGGGGAGGGGGCGCAGUAAUCGAGCUGGUCCCACUCGGCGCUGCGUUCACUAUCGCCCUUUUAAGGGAUCCCUGGGCGCUGCGGGACACUGGUGGGUGCCGGGCCCAGUCCCGUGCUUCCCCGAGUGGGAAGCAGGCAGGGGGUGGCGGGUCGUGCGGCGUUUCCCCAGCCACCAUCUCCCCGCGCGUCCACCAGCUGCUCGGAAAGCCCCCCGUGGCCCGCGUGCUCCCGCGGCCUUGCUGCCCGCCCCCUCCGCGCUCCUCGCCGUCUCCGCCCCUCGCGCAGAGGAGGCCUCGCCCUUUAAGAGCCCGGCGAGCGAGUGACAGGCGAAGCCACGCCGCGCGCCGGAGCCGCCCGAGCUCAGGGCUCCCCGGGCGCAGGAGAGACAUUUCAAAGCCCUUGCUGACCUCACCAUGCCGGUCGCUGCCACCAACUCUGAGUCUGGUAAGAAGGGGUGAGGAGGCCAGCUUAUUACAUGAUUCAGAGGAUGCCAGGCAAGGGCUUGGGGUGGGCAA